rnacentral:lncRNA from 1 species
UCAUUUUGAAGUGGUUUGGCCAAAGAUUGGAUGUUCAAAGCUCAUCUGUUCAUGAUCAAUUCAUCUGAAACCCUAGAAAGUCAACAAAAGUCAACUGUCAAAUCAACCAUGGAUUUGGAGGUGGGAGAUGGUUAGAGAGGCCUCAUUCAUGUCCAUACAAGUCUCAUUUGACAUUUCAAACAUCAACAUUGAAGAAUUUGAGGUCAGAUGAAAACUUU